GACGAACGCUGGCGGCGUGCCUAAUACAUGCAAGUCGAACGCAGUGGGGACGGGUGAGUAACACGUGGGUAACCUCCCAUCAGAGGGGAUAACACUUGGAAACAGGUGCUAAACCGAUACUGAUGGAUGGACCCGCGGUGCAUUAGCUAGUUGGUGAGGUAACGGUUCACCAAGGCCACGAUGCAUAGCGGACCAGAGGGGGGGAGCGGUCACACUGGGAAUGAGACACGGUCCAGACUCCGACGGGAGGCAGCAGUAGGGAAUCAUGUGGAAUGGACGAAAGUCUGACCGCGGAACGCCGCGUGAGUGAAGAAGGUUUUCGGAUCGUAAAACUCUGUUGUGAGAUAAGCGGUAUCUGACCAGAAAGCCACGGCUAACUACGUGCCAGCAGCCGCGGUAAUAC
rnacentral:rRNA from 1 species